CUGAGGGGUGACCUCAUAAAUGCUUAUAAAUAUGUAAAGGGUGUGUGUCAGGAGGAUGGAACCAGACUCUUCUCGGUGACACCCAAUGAUAGGACAAGGAGUAAUGGGUGCAAGAUGGAACAUAGGAGGUUCAACAUAAACAGGAGAGAAAAAGCAUAUUCAGAGCCCAGGAGAUUCAGUUGGCAAAACCUUUGUUCUUGCUUGCACUGUGGAAAGUUUAAGCUUCAGGUCAUCUCAAGGAGCAACCCUACUCUUGAAGUUCCUUCUCACUUGAACAGAUUCCCCCAGCAGAGGCGCAGAAAACACUGAACCAAAUUCCAAAGUAGAAUGGAAAUUGCAUUUUUCAACUGAAAAAGGAAAAGCCAUGACUGCUUUUGUUAGAUGAAAACCGCUAAAAAUUUUCAAGCAAGAACAGGUGAUUAAAAUGGGUUGCUGACCAGAAAAAGCACUCCUACACAGAGGUAGUUAAGAAAUAAAUUGUGAAUUACUAGGGCCUGAAGACACAGUGCACAUUUGAGGAGAAGUUUCUGGAAAGAUGCUCUGGGAUAAGGUAUUUGAAGCCAGUAGGGUCACAUAGACCCCUAUAAGGACAACAGUAUGUGGAAAACCCAGGAAGUAAGGACCCUCCUGUCAGAUAUGCUCUUGAGUAAGCCACAUAAGAGCAAGGAUACCCCUGAAGUAUUGCAGCAGAAGGCAGCACAGAAAAAUCUGAAGAUUCAAAAAUCAGCAGAAACUCAGCAGAAGCCAUUGUACACAUAUCCCCAGCCUUUUAUGCCAGUCAACAUCUCAAUGAAGUAAUUCAAACUGUGUCUACAAUUAGUUAAAUAAGAUGAGUUGCGACUACUAAGGGAGAGUUAGAUGUUUGGCUUAAUCUGAUUCUAUGGAAGUGGAAGUAAAGAGAUUUUAUGUAAUCAUUUAAUUAUGUUUUAUUUUUUAU